rnacentral:lncRNA from 1 species
AAAAAACUACUAUCCACAGUACAUAACGCAAGAUAACAAGAAAUACUUUGAGUUCUGUCACAAACGUGUCUAAUGUAGUCAUCCUCUAUCGAUAUCUUUAUCCACACUAUAACCUUAUUCACUCGUUUAUCUUAUGAGUAUGCAUGAUGUUAUAAACAGAUGGCAUGUAUCACUAACAUAAUUUCAGACAUAAUUACAAUAUUAUCAUGCAUCUUCAAAUUACUGAAACAAAUUUUUGAACCUGGUUGGAUCAGAAACAAUAAUCGAGUUAAGCUUAGUGGAAGUUGCUUUCAGUUAUUGAAUACGAACUAGACCCAACACAAAAUUAUUGAUGUAUAAAAUCUUGAAUAUCUCAACCAACUCGAUCAAUCCAAGCGGCAUAGAUAGAGCACGUAUCUAUCGAGCACAAUGUGGAACAAUCGAUCACGUUUACUUGAGAGAUCGAUUCAUAAGCAUAAUAGUUGGUGUGUGACUCCACAAAUAUAUAAUUGACGAAACAAGAAUGAAGUGUAACUGUGCAAGUUACAUUUGCAAAAAGGCAACAAAUUUAAAUCUCAUUAGGUUUCUGUUAAUUUAGUAGUUAAUACUUGCAGGUCCAAGCUUAAGGGAGUUGGAACUAAUAUAUGGAUUCUGAAGAACCAAAGUGAAUAUGGAGUUGUUGCCUUGAACGCCUAAGAAAUAUUCAAGAAAUUUCUUAGUCCCAUUGUUAAGCAAACCAAUAAAGGUGCGAGUUACAUACACUGUUAAAACAGGGAUUGUGAUCGUCGUGUUCUUCUCUUUCUCAAGAAGUGAAUUGCGUGGCACCGACUAGGAUAUUUUUGAUGGACCGUGAAAUGAUUUAAGAAACACCUGUGACAUUCGACUAUCCAUUAUUACAUGUUGGUCGGCACUCCAAACAAGCCUUUGAAUUACACCGACAAAGAAAACAAAUGCUAAGCAUUUACACUUCUUUUCUAUUAGAUAUUUUUUUUGUUUUUUUUGUUGAAAGAGUUAAUUACGACUUUCAUAUAUUUAGGUAAACAGAAGGCCUGAAGUAAUCAUUACAUACUCUACCGUUAUCAUCUCCAGAUAGACAAAUAGUUAUGAGGCAUACAUCACCUAGUACAUAUGAUAAACUAUUUUUUAAUAAUCAUGCUCAUUUAUUCUGUAAGUCUAUUAUUACUUUAUACAUAGAAAAAUAGGCUAAUGUUUUAAAAUAGAAAAACUAAAAAAGGAAGAAAAAAAACCCAGUAGGGUCAAACCCAAUUUGCUAAGGCCCAAGGAAACCCUGGCAAAAUUGAUGUUAGUAACGUAGCUGUCGCCGUCAACGUAGACUGCAACAACCAAGUCAUCGACGCCGACGUCGUAUCCUCCUUCGUCUCCGCCACAAGCGCUAGCCUUGCCGUUUCUGCAGUUGACCCGAGCAUCACCGCUACCAUCCAAAGUUCCAUACGUUGCUUCCACACUCCAUGGCUUCAUACCAACAACACCAAUUCCAAUCAGCUGUUAAAUUGGUUUCAGAUCUAGGAGAAAACCUAGAUAAGAAAACACCAUAGAUGUUUUCGCUAGGGAAGGGGGAAGCCUUCGCUUGGACCUUCACUUCAGUUAUGCUUAUGGUGAAGAGAUGAGAGGCACCAGAGGUUGAUCGGAUUGGUGAUGGCAGUUGAUAGAUUGCCGCGCAUAGACAUCAAGAGGCAAACAAUGAAGAUCUGCAUAGUGAUUGUGAUUUGCACCAUUGAUUGAGCCCCGAGUCAUGACGCCAAUGUUUGGUAGAGAGGAAAAGGAGAGAGCCAUUGUUGGCACCAGAAAUGGUAUGGGUCCACAAUAAGAUUGUUAUGCAGGUUCAUGUUAAUAAAAAUCUAGGAACAGCUAAGGUAUGAAAACUAAUGAGUUGGGUAUACAUGGUAAGAAAAUACAUUUUACCUCUUCAUUAAUUUGAUAAUGACACACUCCGUAACGGAUGAGUUAACGUUAUGUACUUUCUCUUAUUUGCAUAUUGUUGACAAUAUAGUCGACAAUAUAGUCAAUCGUUUUAACCGUUUAAAAGUUGAAUUGGUCAAUAAAAAUCAUCUAUGUAAAAAAUAAAUGAACAAAAUUCGUUUGCUUAACCGAUUGCAUCAAUCAAAUUG